rnacentral:rRNA from 1 species
GAUGAACGCCGGCGGCGUGCCUAAUACAUGCAAGUCGAGCGAACAGACGAGGAGCUUGCUCCUCUGACGUUAGCGGCGGACGGGUGAGUAACACGUGGAUAACCUACCUAUAAGACUGGGAUAACUUCGGGAAACCGGAGCUAAUACCGGAUAAUAUAUUGAACCGCAUGGUUCAAUAGUGAAAGACGGUUUUGCUGUCACUUAUAGAUGGAUCCGCGCCGCAUUAGCUAGUUGGUAAGGUAACGGCUUACCAAGGCAACGAUGCGUAGCCGACCUGAGAGGGUGAUCGGCCACACUGGAACUGAGACCCGGUCCAGACUCCUACGGGAGGCAGCAGUAGGGAAUCUUCCGCAAUGGGCGAAAGCUUGACGGAGCAACGCCGCGUGAGUGAUGAAGGUCUUCGGAUCGUAAAACUCUGUUAUUAGGGAAGAACAAAUGUGUAAGUAACUAUGCACGUCUUGACGGUACCUAAUCAGAAAGCCACGGCUAACUACGU